rnacentral:rRNA from 1 species
AUGGCGGAGAUUGUGAUUUUUCUAGCCAUUAAAAAGAUCAGAUUUGCCUUGGCAAAGGGAGCGGCAGACCAGGCUAGCGUGCAGUUUGCGAAGUAUGGCACACAACUACUAGAGCUACAGAGCACCAUGGGCCGUGUUGCUAGUGAGCUUCGCGUAAUUCAUGAUGUUCUUUGUCAAAUGGAUAUUCGAAACCGCAACAAUCAAGUAUAUGAGGGUUGGUUGGAAGAGAUACAGAAAGUAGCACAUGUAAUGGAGGACAUGGUGGAUGAGUACUUGUAUCUAGUUGGUCAAGAACAUGAUAUAGGUUGUUGCUUUUUCCUGAAGAAAGGGGUUAAAAAGCCAAGAUCUCUGCUUUCCUUCAACCGGUUAGCUCUCAAGGUGAAGGAAACAGAGAAACACCUCACCCACCUGUCAGAGAUAAAAAACCGAUGGGUUACCCUGAUAAAUAACGGGGAUACUAAUAGCUCAAAUUACAUUGUCAAGAGAUCCCAAGAUCUAGCAAAUAUUUCACGCUCCCUAGAUGAAGAAGAUCUAGUGGGGGUGGAUGAAAACAGACGAAAACUCGAGCAGUGGUUGGCAGGUGAUGAUUUGGAAUGCUCUGUGAUAGCUCUGCUCGGAAUGGGAGGUCUUGGUAAAACUGCUUUAGCUGCAAAUGUUUACAAGAAAGAGAGGGAUAAAUUCCAAUGUCACGCCUGGGUCUCCAUCUCUCAAACUUAUUCUAGAGAACAUGUCUUGAGGAUUAUAAUCAAGGAAGUUUUUAAAGAUAAUGCUACUAUUUUAUCUAGCACUGUGGCUAUGGACAUUGUGUGCCUUGAAGAGACACUGACAAAAUUUUUGGAGCAAUGA